rnacentral:rRNA from 1 species
GGGCCCGCACAAGCGGUGGAGCAUGUGGUUUAAUUCGACGCAACGCGAAGAACCUUACCUACUCUUGACAUCUACGGAAGACUGCAGAGAUGCGGUUGUGCCUUCGGGAACCGUAAGACAGGUGCUGCAUGGCUGUCGUCAGCUCGUGUUGUGAAAAUGUUGGGGUUUAAGUCCCCACGCAACGAGCGCCAACCCCUAUCCUUAGUUGCCAGCGAGUUAAGUCGGGAACUCUAGGGAGACUGCCGGUGAUAAACCGGAGGAAGGUGGGGACGACGUCAAGUCAUCAUGGCCCUUACGAGUAGGGCUACACACGUGCUACAAUGGUACGUACAGAGGGAGGCAAGCUGGCGACAGUGAG